AACGUAGGAGACGAACGUUAUCCGGAGUUACUGGGCGUAAAGGGCGUGCAGGCGGCUUGAUAAGUUCGGCGUGAAAUUUCCCGGCUUAACCGGGGGAUGUCGUCGGAGACUGUCGAGCUAGAGGGUGAUAGAGGCGUGUGGAAUUCCGGGUGUAGUGGUGAAAUGCGUAGAGAUCCGGAGGAACACCAGUGGCGAAGGCGGCCACCUGGACUGUACCUGACGCUGACACGCGAAAGCUAGGGGAGCGAACGGG
rnacentral:rRNA from 1 species